rnacentral:rRNA from 12 species
UUUUACUGUAAAAGAGUGGCGGCCGCACCCGAAUUUAGCCUCUGAUCUCGGAAGCUAAAGCCGUGUCUGCUUAGUACUUAGAUGGGAGACAAACUUGGAAGACCAGGGGCUGCUAAAA